CCUACGGGAGGCAGCAGUAGGGAAUCUUCCGCAAUGGACGAAAGUCUGACGGAGCAACGCCGCGUGAGUGAAGAAGGUUUUCGGAUCGUAAAGCUCUGUUGCCAGGGAAGAACGUCUUCAUGGAAGUAACUGCCAGUGAGUCAGUGACGGUACCUGAGAAGAAAGCCCCGGCUAACUACGUGCCAGCAGCCGCGGUAAUACGUAGGGGGCAAGCGUUGUCCGGAAUUAUUGGGCGUAAAGCGCGCGCAGGCGGCUGUUUAAGUCUGGUGUUUAAUCCUGGGGCUCAACUCCGGGUCGCACUGGAAACUGGAUGGCUUGAGUGCAGAAGAGGAGAGUGGAAUUCCACGUGUAGCGGUGAAAUGCGUAGAGAUGUGGAGGAACACCAGUGGCGAAGGCGACUCUCUGGGCUGUAACUGACGCUGAGGCGCGAAAGCGUGGGGAGCAAACAGGAUUAGAUACCCUGGUAGUCCACGCCGUAAACGAUGAGUGCUAGGUGUUAGGGGUUUCGAUACCCUUGGUGCCGAAGUAAACACAUUAAGCACUCCGCCUGGGGAGUACGGUCGCAAGACUGAAACUCAAAGGAAUUGACGGGGACCCAGCAUCAAGCAGUGCGAGUAUGUGGUUUAAUUCGAAGCAACGCGAAGAACCUUAC
rnacentral:rRNA from 1 species